CAACUAGGCUCAGUGGGUGACAGGUAACUGUGUUUCCACCAAGCUGUUCCAGGCCUGGAGUGGCACCCUGGAACUUCUAGAGGCUUGUAGACUUGAAGCUGUGUGAUGUGGUCCAGAUCUGACACCCCUAUUAGCUCAACCACAGCCCUCAUAGCUGCAGUCUUCUGCUCCUGCACCUGCUACACUGGCCGCGACAGGUGAUACAGAUCUGCCACCCUUAGCAGUUCAGCUGCAUUCACAGCAGUCCCCUGCUGUGGUAUUUAUUUUACUGGCUGCACCAGGUCCUACUACACUGGCCGUGAAGGGAGAAACUUUUAAGGAUUCUCAGAUGGAAUCAGAUCUACCAUGCACUCCACCACUGCCCGACAGCCUCUCCCAGACGUGCAUACACUGGGCCUAUCAAGACUGACAAAGCAGAGAUGGGUGAGUGACAAGGAAAAAUAAAACACAACAUGCACACACACUCUCUCGCUGUCACACACACACACACACACACA